GACGAACGCUGGCGGCGUGCUUAACACAUGCAAGUCGAACGGAAAGGCCCCCACCUUGGUGGGGGUGCUCGAGUGGCGAACGGGUGAGUAACACGUGGGUGAUCUGCCCUGUACUUCGGGAUAAGCUUGGGAAACUGGGUCUAAUACCGGAUAGGACCAUGGUUUAGUGUCUCAUGGUGGAAAAAUUAUUGUUUUGGUGCAGGAUGAGCUCGCGGCCUAUCAGCUUGUUGGUGGGGUAAUGGCCUACCAAGGCGUCGACGGGUAGCCGGCCUGAGAGGGUGGACGGCCACAUUGGGACUGAGAUACGGCCCAGACUCCUACGGGAGGCAGCAGGGGGGAAUAUUGCACAAUGGGCGCAAGCCUGAUGCAGCGACGCCGCGUGGGGGAUGACGGCCUUCGGGUUGUAAACUCCUUUCGUUAGGGACGAAGCCACACCUUUUUUGGGUGUGGUGACGGUACCUUUGUUAAGAAGCACCGGCUAACUACGUG
rnacentral:rRNA from 1 species